rnacentral:pre_miRNA from 1 species
GUUAAAAAAAUUCCGUGCCAAUGUUGGACUGUCCGUCUAAAAUUUUUUAUAAUUAGUAUUUGCAUUAUUGUUAGAUGAUAAAACAUGAUCAAUAAUUUAUGCAUGACUUAUCUUUUUAAUUCUUUUCAUAAUUUUUUUAAAUAAGACGGACGGUCAAACGUUGGGCACGGAAACC